rnacentral:rRNA from 1 species
CGGACGGGUGAGUAAUGUCUGGGAAACUGCCUGAUGGCGGGGGAUAACUACUGGAAACGGUAGCUAAUACCGCAUAAUGUCUACGGACCAAAGCGGGGGACCUCCGGGCCUCGCGCCAUCAGAUGAACCCAUAUGGGAUUAGCUAGUAGGUAAGGUAACGGCUUACCUAGGCGACGAUCCCUAGCUGGUCUGAGAGGAUGAUCAGCCACACUGGGACUGAGACACGGCCCAG